ACGCUGGGUACGGUGGGUCACGCCUGUAAUCUCAGCACUUGGGAGCCCGAGGCAGGAGGAUGGCUUGAGCCCAGAAGACCAGCCUGGGUAACAUAGGUAAUCACUUUGAUCAACAUGACGAAGGAUACUUGGAAACUGAACAAGCAUCGCUUGACAAGCCUACAGAAUCCAUAAGAUGAUCAUUGCUUAAUUUCGGGUCUUAGCCAGUUAGGCAAGUCCACAAGAUCCAGUCUUGCAUGGGAUGUCUGGAGAUGGCAGACAAGCAGUCUGGGCACUAUUUACCUUCAGCUUUAACAAAAACUUGGCCAUCAAAACCUGAGUCCUGUCCUCUUGCUCUCCUCCCCGGACAGCAUGAAAUUCACCACUUGCUCCACCUUCUCCACCAACUACCAGUCCCUGGGCUCUGUCCAGGCACCCAGCUAUGUGCCUGGCUGGUCAGCAGUGUGGCCAGUGUCUAUGUAGGCAUCAGGGGCUCUGGUUCCCGGAUCUCCAUGUCCUGCUUCACCAGCUUCCAGGGCAGCAUGGGGUCCAGGGGCCUGCCCACGGUGAUGGCCAGGGGUCUGGCAGGAAUGGGAGUCAUCCAGAAUGAGAAGGAAACCAUGCAAAGCCUCAACGACCACCUGGCCUCCUACCUGGACAGAGUUAGGAGCCUGAAGACCAAGAACCAGAAGCUGGAGAGCCAGGAGCACCUGGAGAAGAAGGGACCCCAGGUCAGAGACUGGAGCCAUGACUUCAAGACCAUUGAGAACCUGAGGGCUCAGAUCUUGGCAAAUACUGUGGACAGUGCCCACAUUGUUCUGCAAAUCGACAAUGCCUGUCUUGCUGGUGAUGGCUUUAGGGUCAAGUAUGAGACAGAGCUGGCCAUGUGCCAGUCUGUGGAGAGCGACAUCCAUGGGCUCCGCAAGGUCAUUGAUGACAGCAAUGUCACUUGGCUGCAGCUGGAAGCAGAGAUCAAGGCUCUCAAGGAGGAGCUGCUCUUCAUGAAGAAGAACCAUGAAGAAGAAGUAAAGGGCCUAUAAGCCCAGAUUGCCAGCUCUGGGUUGACUGUGGAGGUAGAUGCCCCCAAAUCUCAUGACCUCGCCAAAAUAUUGGCAGACAUUGGGCCCAAUAUGACGAGCUGGCUCCGAAGAACCGAGAGGAGCUGGGCAAGUACUGGUCUCAGCAGAUUGAGGAGAGCACCACAGUGGUCACCGCGCAGUCUGCCGAGGUUGGAGCUGCUGAGAUGACACUCACGGAGCUGAGACAUACAGUCUAGCCCUUGGAGAUCAACCUGGACUCCAUGAGCAAUCUGAAGGCCAGCUUGGAGAACAGCCUGAGGGAGGUGGAGGCCUGUUACACCCUGCGGAUGGAGCAGCUCAACGGGAUCCUGCUGCACUUGGAGUCAGAGCUGGCACAGACCCGGGCAGAGGGACAGCACUAGGCCCAGGAGUAUGAGGCCCUGCUGAACAUCAAGGUCAAGCUGGAGGCUGAGAUCGCCACCUACUGCCACCUGCUGGAAGACAGUGAGGACUUCAAUCUUUCAAUCUUGGUGAUGCCCUGGACAGCAGCAACUCCAUGCAAACCAUCCAAAAGACCACCACCUGCCGAAUAUUGGAUGGCAAAGUGGUGUCUGAGACGAAUGAGGCCAAAGUUCUGAUAUAUUAAGCCAGCAGAAGCAGGAGACCCUUUGGGGAGCAGGAGGCCAAUAAAAAGUUCAGAGGUUAAAAAAAAAGAAAAAAAAAUUGGCAUUGUUAUGGCACUAACAGCUAUAUAUAUGUACUUUUUUUCAAAACAACAUUUAUAGCAUAACUUGAAUUUUCUAUUUAUUAGUAUAUACAUUUUUCUUCUUUUGAAAUGUGUAUUUUCUAGUUUAUUGGAUAUUGAAAACAAUCUUUGAUUUAUCAUUGUAAUUUAAGUUCACUGUCUCUUUUCCAGCAAUUAUUAUUUUUUCUCUUUUGUGCAGUAGUAGAAAACAAAAUCCAAGCAAGCAUAGACCAGGCAAGAUAUUCAGCUGUCUAGAAAUCUGGAGAUUUUGUCCAGCAAGGAGCCCCCUAACAAAAGGCAGAAUGCCGAACCGUGAGUGCUGACCUCUGACAUGGCUCUGAUACCCCAGGCCCAUUAAGAGAGGCUUUUCUCCCAGUGAGGAGGCGAUAGAAUAUUCUGAAAGCCCAUGUACCUGUUGAAAAACUAAGACUAUAUGCAAAGAAAAAUUCCCCCCAAUGGGUGCAAUUCUAUCUGGAUGAUGCCUUCUCAAAAUAAAUAGCCUGUGAGGUUUGUGGCUUAGAAGCCUUGUGACUCCUUACCUCUUUGUUUCAUUUUGAAAUUUUGCCUCCAGUUCUGUUUCUCUGACAAGACCCAUGGCCACCUGCAGCCUAAUGCUGCCAUGGAGCUUUGUUCUGCUCUUUGGUUGCUGCUGGGUUCUUCUUGGGUUGAAAAGAAAAAUCACUUCAAUCAGUCCAUCUAUAAUGAAAUACUGAUCUAAUGUUUGAUACUCCACCAUAAAAUUAAAAUGAAACCGCCUUUGCCACCUCCACCCCCAGCGCCUGUUUCCGAAAGUUUUAUGAAGCUUCGUGGAUGCUUUACCUCAAAGAUGCCCUUGGGCUUCCUCCAGGAGAAUGAAGAGGUCAGCGAACCUGCUUCCUGUCCCCUGUUCCCUGUCAUGCAUUCAGAAUCAGAGAACAGCAGAUUCUGAAGUCAAGCUGCCAGAAUCUCAUGCGCUACCAUCUCACUUUAACCACAGGCUACUUCUUUACUUUCAACAUCAUUGAUCAAAAUCAGAUUUCAUGGUGGGUGGGUGAUAGUGUGGGGGUGGUGUAGGGAGAAGUAAGGAAAUGCUGUCUUUUGUCAGUACAAAGCCUGGCCCCCUCAGACUCUGCUGCCCUGAGUUAAAUUUAAUCUCUCUUUCCAUCAAUUCCAGUCAGGUUGAGCAGUUAAAGUAUGAUGUCCAUCAACUGCAGACUGCUCUCAGAAACUUCCAGCACCAGUGCUAUGCAAGGGAGCAGCAGGAGAGACAGCGAGAAGAGCUUCUGUCUCGAACCUUCACUGCUAACGUAGGCCAGGCUUGCGGUGGGGGUCGGCCUGCACUUGACAGAUUGUGGGGGCUGGAGUUCAGAUCUCUGAGCGUUAUCUUUUUUAGGGGGUAUCUGAAAAAGAUUGAUGAGGAGGAAACCAACCGGAAAUGACAGGGACUUUGUGCAUUGCCACAGAGACUAGACCCAGACAGAAGAAUCUCUCUUUCUAACACAAAAACCUGAAGAAGAAGCAGUUAAAUUGAAGGGGAAUAGGCAGAGGUGAAAAUAACCUGGUUGGACUGGUCUGAGACAGAAAGGUGGAAAUUCACAUGGUGGAAACUUUUUUCUGAUCAGAUAGAGACAGAUUAUUAGAAUUUAGGCCAUUUGUAGAGAAGGCAGCAUUUCAAAGCUGCCUGCGCAGUUGCCAUUGUGCCGAGUUUGUGUGUGGUUCCGGUGUCAGGUGCCUUAAAAUGUUUUUGUCCCUAGUCUGAGCAGCGAUUUGAAGGAAUUUUUUUAACAGAUAUUUAGGGUUAGAUGGACUGCUUGCCUGAGUGUGUCUGAAAGUGUGUUGGUUUCCACGUUUGAUUUCUCAGAACCCAUUGUCCCUGUCCUUUAGUCUUAACCAGACCAUUUCCUGAACAUGGCUGUAGAACAUACUGGCCUUUUCUGUGUCAUGUGUAAUAUAUUCCACCAAGUAAAGUGUGCUUUGGCUUUUUGUGUGUUUUUUUUUAGAGGUUUAUUUUCCAGAGAUGUUAACUUUCUAAGCCUGUCGUUAGAAUUCACAUCAUUUCCCACUUUGCAGAUGUUUAAUCCUCAAUGCUUCAUCCUUGCUUUGCAAUACAUUUCCCCAAGUGUUUAAAAAUGUGCCUAUGUAGUUUUUGCUUCUCCAGAGUAAGAAUCAAGUCACAAUGUUUUUUUCUUUGUUUGUUUUUGUGUUUUGAGACAGAGUCUCGCUCUGUCACCCAGGCAAUGGUGCGAUCUCAGCUCACUGCAACCUCUGCCUCCUUGGUUCAAGUGAUUCUCCUGCCUCAGCCCCCCUAGUAGCUGGGAUUACAGGUGCCCACCACCAGGCCUGGAUAAUUUUUGUAUUUUUAGUAGAGACAGCAUUUCCCCAUGUUGGCCAGGCUGGUCUCAAGCUUCUGACCUCAGGUGAUCUGCUCGCCUCGGCCUCCCAAAGUACUGGGAUUACAGGCAUGAGCCACCAUGCCUGGCCAAGUCACAGUGUUUAACAAUUCAAAAAUUUAAUGAACUAUAAGACACACUAAAAGAUGAUGUUUGGAUUUUAGAUUGUUACAAUUAUGAUUCAAGUCUUUUUUCUGCAAAGGAUGAUCGCUCAGGAUUAUUUUGUUUCUUGCCAGCCUGGUGUGAUGCUGGGCAUACAGUGGGUUCUUAAUAAACACUGACUUGCAAGAUGAAAUUUUUUCCUGGUCAUUCUACCAUCUGGAGCUAUAAUACAUCUUUCUGAGAGAUAAUGGACCAUCAGCCAUACCUUUUCAGUUGGGAGGGUAAGAAAGAUUUGUAUGUAAAUGGAAUUCUGUAAGUGCUUAGCAAAUUACUGAGAGAACUCUCUAAUUAAGUCUUUCCAACACUAGCAUCUUUUGAUGCACUGAGCAUUAGCUGCAUGUUUGUUGGUGUGCCCUCGGGGUUCAAGCCAACACAAGAGCCUUACAGUGCCCAAGGUGGUUAGGGUACAGCUUGGUUUUAUAUAUUUUAAGGAGGCAUGAGGCAUCAAUCAAAUACAUUAAGAAAUACAAUGGUUUGGUUCAGAAAGGCGGGACAACUCAAAGUGGGGGCUUCCAGGCUAUAGUUAAAUUUAAAUAUUUUCUGGUUGACAAUUGGUUGAGUUUAUCUGAAGACCUGGGAUCAACGGAAAGGAAUGUUCAGGUUAAGAUAAAGGAUUGUGGAGACUAUGUUUUGCUGUGCAGAGGAAUCUCUCAGCAGAGUUCAGGGGGAAAGCAGGUUAUAAAAUGUUUCUUAUUGGACUUAAAAGGGUGCCUGGUUUUUAGUUUAUUCUCUCCUGGAUCUGGAAAAAAGGAAGGAAAACAAAGGGGGAAGGGGAUUGAUUCUCUAUAGAAUGUGGAUUUUUCCCACUUGAGAUUUGGCAGGGCAAUUUCAAGGUAUGGCAAGGAAAUAUAUUGUGGGUUAAAUAUUUUUUCCUUGUGCCAGAAUUAGAUUGAAAAGUAAGUCAUGAUAUAUAGGGUCAAAUAAAACCCAUCUGGUGAGAAUUUAUGGUUUGUAGGGCAUGACUCCCUAGACCCCUUAGGUAGGAAUUUGAGCAAGAUAAAAAAUCAGAGGUUAGUUAUCAACUGUAUCCGGGCAGCCUGCCUUCAGAAGUCCAGGUGAACUCAGAUGAGCAAGCUGGACUUUCUCAAUUCAUUCUAGAGCCUGAAACUCAAAACUCAGAGACCCUUGAAGAGAUCCAGUCCUCUUAGCUCCAGCAAGAAGCCCCAGCACAGCUUCCACAGCUCCCUGAGGAGGUAGAACCUUCUUUAACCCAGCAGGAGUCCCCAGCUCUGCCUUCACAGUCCUUUGAGGGGGUCGCUCUUCUUCAACAGAGCAGGAGUCCCCAGCACAGCAGCUACCUCCCUCUGAAGAAAUUGUAGCUCAGCCAUCAAUACAUCAUGAGGUAAAUGUCCCAUUUAAAAGUUGGAGUGAAGCUCAGCACUCACACUUGCCCAAUGUCAAGCCAGGAACAGGCUGCCCCUCAGCCUCCAGAGCACCCCAAGGAGGUCAACUCUUCUUCAGCCCAAUUAAAGGCCCCAGCUCAGACAACAGAGUUCCCUGAGGAGAUGAAACCUUCUGCAACUCAGCAAGGGACUCCAGCUGAGCCUCCAGGUCCUCCUGUGGAGGUUGAACCUUCCCCCAGUGAGCAGGAGCAGCCAGCUCAGCCUUGUGAGUUUCCUAGGGGAGUUGAACCUUCUCAGACCCAGCAGGAGGCCCCAGCUCAGCUCUAGAGUCUAUGGAGGGUGCAGUUCAAACUCCACCGAAUCAUGAGGUGACAGUUCAACCUCCAGGUGAGGAUCAAGCUCAUUCUAACUUGCCCGAUGUUACAGUUAAACCUGCGGAUGUGGAUAUUGCCAUAACUUCAGAGUCUGCCAAGGAGACUGAAUCUUCUCCAGCCCAGCAGGAGGCCCCAACCCAGUCUCCAGAGGAGGUGGAACCUUCUGCAACCCAAGAGGAGGCCACAACUGAGCCUCCAGAUCCUCCUGUGGAGGCUGACCCUUCCCACAGUGAGCAGGAACAGCCAGCUUAGCCCUCUUGAGUCUUCUGGGGAGGUUGAAUCUUCUCCAGCCAAGAAGGAGACCCCAGCUCAGCCUUCAGAACAUUAUGAAGUCACAGUUUCACCUCCAGGUCACCAUCAAGCUCAGCAUUCCGGUUUGUCCAAUGUCACUAUUAAGCCUCCAGAUAUGCAGCUCACCAUAGCAACAGAGCCUACUGCAGAGGUGGGAACUUCUCCAGUCUACCAAGAGGGUACAGCUCAGCUCUCAGGGCCAGUUAAUGAUGUAGAACCUUCUGCCACCCAGCAUGGGGGCCUACCUCUACCUCCAGAUCACUGGAAGAGGCUGGGCCUUUACCAGCUCAACAGGAGACUUCAGUUCAGUCUCCAGAACCUAUUAAGGAUCAGAACCCCUCUGCAACCCAGCAGGAGGCUGAGCAUCCACAGACCCCUGAGGAGGUUGUCUUCUCUAACUCAGCAGGAGGCCCCAGCUCAGACUCCAGAGCUCCUUAAUGAAGUUGUAGCUCAAUCUCCAGAGCAUCAUGAGAUAACAGUUUCUCCUCUAAGUCAUGAUCAAGUUCAGCCUCCAACAUUGUACAAUAUCACUGUUAAACCUGUGGAUCACAUGGUUACCAUGACUCCAGAUUUCACUAAUCAGGUUGAAAUUUUAACCCAACAGGGUGCCCCAGCCCAGCCCUUAGUGUCCCCUGAGCAGUUUCAACAUUUGAAAGACUAGCAAGAGGUUAUAGUUCAGCAGCUAAAUACCCCUGAAAAUGAUGAACUUCCUCCAGUCCAUCAAGAGCCCACAACUCAGCCUCCAACUGAGCUCUCUUCAGACUUUGAAAGUUCACUGAAUGAUGGGAUGAUAUUUUCACCUCUAGAUCUGUCUUCAAUAUCCAGAAGUAAUUCAACUUUACCUAAUACCACAGUUAAAAAUGUGGAUAUGGAGCUUCCCAUACCUUCAGCAGUCACUAUGGAGGUUGAACCUUCUCCAGUCCAGCAGGACAACCCUCCUAUUCCCACUGAGCAGGCUGACUUUUCUCUAGCCCAGCCUGAUCUGCCUUCCCCACCUCUGCAUUCUCCUGAAAAGAUUGAACCUCCAGUCUGGUAAGAGGCCACAGCUCAGACUCCAGAUCCCCCUAGGAAGGUAGAACUUUCUCCAGUCCAGCAAGAGUUCCAAGCUGAGUCACCAGAGGCCCCUAAGGAGGUUGAACCAUCUGCAACCCAGCAGGAAGCCUCAGAUCAUCCUCCAAAGUCCACUGAAGAGGUCAGUCCUCCACCACAGCAGCAGAUAUCAGCUCAGCCAUCAGAGCCACCUAAGAAGGUCGAACCAUCUCCAGUCCUACAGCAGCCCCCAACUCAGCUUUUAGAGGCAACUAAAGAGGUAGAAUCCUCUCCAGUCUAGCAGGCAGGCCCUGCUCAGUCUUCAGAGCCCCCUAUGGUGACAGAACCCUCUCUGACCCAGCAGAUAGCCCCAUCUUUGCCUCCAGAGUUCCCUCAGGAGGUUGGACCAUAUCUAACUCAGCAGGAGGUUCCAGCUCAGAUUCCAGAGACCUCUAUGGAGGCAGAACCUUCUCCAACCCAGCAGAAGGCCACCGUUCAGGUUCCAGAGCCCCCUAAGAACAUAGAACUUUCAAGCCAGCAGAUGGUCCCAGCUCAGCUUCCAUAGCCACCUAAGGAGGUUGCAGCUCAACAUCCAGCUCACUAUGAGGUGACAGUUCCAACACUAGGUCAGGAUCAAGCUCAGCACUCAAUAUUAGCCAGUUUCACAGUUCAACCUUUGGAUCUGGGGCUUACCAUCACUCCAGAAUCCACAGUUGGAGAUGUUGAACUUUCUCCAACCAUGCAGGAGACCCCAACUCAGCCUCCUAAGAAAGUUGUUCCCCAAAUUCCAAUAUAUCAAGGUGUAACAGUUGCAACACCAGGUCAGGAUCAAGCUCAGCAUUCAAUGUCACCCAGCAUUACAGUUCAACCUUUGCAUCUGGGACUUACCAUAAAUCCAGAAUCCAGUACAGUGGUUGAACAUCCUACACCCCUGAAGAAGACUAUAGUUCCUCCAAACCACCCUAAGGUGACACUUCCACAUCCAUGCCAUGCUCAGACUCAGCAUUCAAACCUGACUCAAGCCACAGUUCAACCUUUGGAUCGGGGGCUUACCAUCACUCCUGAAUCCACUACAGAGGUUGAAUCUUCUACAGCCCUGACGACUACAGCUCCUCCUCCAGAACACCCUGAGGUGACACUUCCACCUUCAGACAAGGGUCAGGCUCAGCAUUCACACCUGACUGAAGCCACAGUUCAACCUCUGGAUCUGGAGCUUAGCAAAACUACAGAGCCUACUACAGAGGUUAAACCAUCUCCAACCAACCAGGAAACCUCAGCUCAGCCUCCAGACCCAGGGCUUGCCAUAACUCCAGAACCCACUACAGAGAUUGGACAUUCCACAGUCCUGGAGAAGACUACAGCUCCUCAUCCAGACCAGGUUCAGACUCUGCAUCGAAGCCUGACUGAAGUCACAGGUCCACCUACAAAGUUAGAAUCUUCGCAGGAUUCAUUGGUGCAGUCUGAAACUGCACCAGAGGAACAGAUGGCCUCCACAAGCACCAACAUAUGUGAGCUCUGUACCUGUGGAGAUGAGACUGUCAUGUAUUGAUCUCAGCCCAAAGCAGAGGCUCCACCAAGUGCCUGUGCCAGAGCCCAACACCUACAAUGGCAUCUUCACCACCUUAAAUUUCCAAGGAAACUAUAUUUCAUACAUUGAUGGAAAUGUAUGGAAAGCAUACAGUUGGACCGAAACACUAAUUCUCAGUGAAAAUUAUUUGACUGAAUUACAUAAGGAUUCAUUUGAAGGCCUGCUAUCCCUCCAGUAUUUACAAAAUACAGACAGAAAAAAUUUCACAUGGUAAGAAGAUCUGAGGAGUGACUGACACCCGUAUGAACCUUGUUUUAUAAGGAUUUACAUACCAUCUUCUUCUAUUCAAUCUACAGCCAAUAGAUCAAAGCUAACCUAAGAGAUUUAUCCUGCAAUAAAAUAUGGUAUAUUGAAAGACAUACAUUUGAAUCACUACCAUUUUUGCAGUAUAUAAAUCUGGGCUGAAAUUUAAUUACAGAACUGAGCCUUGGAACAUUUCAGGCCUGGCAUGGAAUGCAGUUUUUACACAACUUAAUUCUCAGUCGCAAUCCUCUGACUGCUGUCAAAGAUCCAUAUCUCUUUGAACUGCCGGCAUUAAAAUAUCUAGACAUGGGAACAACACACAUCACACAACACUUAAGAACAUUCUCAUGAUGACUGUUGAACUGGAAAAACUGAUCUUAUCUAGCCAUAUGGCCUGCUGCCUCUGCCAAUUUAAAAAUAGCAUUGAGGCUGUCUGCAAGACAGUCAAGCUGCAUUGCAACACUGCAUGUCUGACUAACAGCAUACAUUGUCGUGAGUCCAAAUUCCCUGGUGAUAAAUUGUUGCAUUAUUUUAA